rnacentral:rRNA from 1 species
UACGGGGGGGGGCAAGCGUUGUUCGGAAUUCCUGGGCGUAAAGCGCGUGUAGGCGGCUGGUUAGGUGUGCUGUGAAAUCCUCGGGCUCAACCCGAGAACUGCAUUGCAAACCGGCCUGGCUAGAGUGCAGGAGAGGGAAGCGGAAUUCCAGGUGUAGCGGUGAAAUGCGUAGAUAUCUGGAGGAACACCGGUGGCGAAGGCGGCUUCCUGGACUGACACUGACGCUGAGGCGCGAAAGCUAGGGGAGCAAACAGG